UGUCUGUUGCUGUCACUGUCUCGCUGUUCCAGACGCAGAUGAGACAUCGUACCCUCACCUCUGUCAGCCUGAUGUCCUCCCGUCAUGUUCAGUGAGUGUUCCAUAACAUCUCUCCGCUUCAUCAGAGCUUGUGUUGAGGUAAUCAAGGGUUUUGUAUAAAAGAACCAAAGUUUGUGUCACACACACAGUGGAGUGUGUGUCGUGUGCCGAAUAAUGAGCCGAAUCCAGCCAGAGCUCCUCAAGAGACAGGUGGUCUUGCAUCUGUGGAAUUACCUGCCCUGUUCCAAAGCCAAUGAAACAAGGGGAAAGUUUCUCAGGUUGUCCUGCUCUUUCCUGUGCUCAGACAUUAAAUGCCACCUGCU
rnacentral:lncRNA from 1 species